rnacentral:rRNA from 1 species
CAAUAGCGUAUAUUAAAGUUGUUGCAGUUAAAAAGCUCGUAGUUGGAUUUCUGGUGGGAGCGAUCGGUCUGGCGCUUAGCGCGAGUACUUGCAUCGUCUCCGGCCAUCCUUGGGGAGAGUCUGUCUGGCAUUAGGUUGUCGGGCAGAGGAUCCUCAUCGUUUACUGUGAAAAAAUUAGAGUGUUCAACGCAGGCUUAUGCCGUUGAAUAUAUUAGCAUGGAAUAAUAAGAUAGGACUUUGGUACUAUUUUGUUGGUUUGCGCACCAAAGUAAUGAUUAAUAGGGACAGUUGGGGGUAUUCGUAUUCCGUUGUCAGAGGUGAAAUUCUUGGAUUUACGGAAGACGAACUACUGCGAAAGCAUUUACCAAGGAUGUUUUCAUUAA